rnacentral:lncRNA from 1 species
AAAUCAGGAGCGGCGUUUUCCUCGGAGUUCAGACUCGGGCCGGAAACGCCANGGUGGAGGACGGAGAAAGAGCGGCGCAUGUUUGGUUUCUUGGUGGAGGGCUCUCCGGAGAAAGAACACGAGGGCAGCGAGGGGUUGUUGGGCAAGAGAUCGGUGGGCUCCAUCACUGUCGUGGGAUCAGUGCGAUCGUGAAUGAGUUGUGAGUUUGCUAUGAUGGAGCAUUGGUUAUUGGGAGGUGUUUGUGGUGGCGUUGAUUGUGGAGAUUUUGUGGUGACGGCAGAAAUCGUCUUUUUCAUUUUCUCCGAUCCUCUCAUUCUGAUUUGGAGGUAUAUAUAUAUAGGUCAGUAAAGAUUUUUUUAAUUGGUAUAUUUU